UCAAACAAGACCACACAGACAUCAUCUACAAGACAACAUUACUAUGUAUAUAAUGUUUAUAUAGUUCAUUAUGUAAAAGCUACUCUAUUCAUUAAAUCAGUGUCAACACUCUCCCUCACUCUCCCUUGUAGCAGAUAUAAUUUUUAGCCAACUUGAGAAAUAGUGGCCUAAAAUGGACAUCCAAACUUUUAAAUUUCCAGGGAAAGGUUCCCCAGACUUUGCUAUCCAAGUGGGAAUAAAUGGCUGCCACACUGUCAUUUUUUUCCCUCCCAGCUGCUCAAAUGUUUUCCCUCCUUUCCACAAUCUUACCAAAGCCCCCAUAUGUGUAGUAAUAAAAACAUUGAAGUGUAGUGUGCUAUCUCAGCAAGAGAUGAUAAUCAUGCACACUUUUAAGUGAGUCAUCCUAGCAGAUGUUUGGUGAGGUAUUACAUUCUGUGCUCAAAAUCUAGUUCACAUAGACCUGGGGAAACAGAAUAGGGUGUAAUAGUCAGGUCGGUGAAUUGCUACAAGCUUUAGUUUGGUACCACUACUCAUUUGGUUAUCCAUUUGGUUAUCUAUCUUGCCGGUAAUCUUUCUGGUUAUUUGGGUUUUUUAUGGAACCUCUUCCCAUCAAGAAGAAGCAUGGUAUGUGUUUGAAAGUUGAUAGAAAAGAAAAGUAAAAAAAAAAAAAAAGGAAAUAGGGGAGGAACAGGAUGGUACCAAAGACAGUGGUACAUUUUUUUUUGCAGGGGGUAGUUUUUUUAUUUUUGAAUUAGGGUUCUAGCCUAAGUAUGUCUAAGUUUCUACACUUGUUUAUUCUUGUGAUUUCUUGCUUUAGGAAGUGAGGUAAAAUUGUUUGAAUUUGUUUUUUCAUUACAGCCACUUGAGUCUGUAAAUGGAAAGAAAACACUGAAAAAUGAUGAAAAUAACAGUCAACUCGAGCAGGAAAACUCCAAUCAGCCUAGAGAGGCCAGAAAAUAAUUGUGCUUAGAAAUAACAGUUACCUCCAGCUGGAAAACAAAAAUGACAGAACAGCUUGCAGGGGCUGGAAAAUACAACAGAUUGUAGCUUCAAUGGAUGCCAGAAAUAUGUUGAUGAAAAACUGGCAGAUACUGUUUUGUGCAUUGUGCUGGUGAAGACAGCAGUGCAAGAAUAGGUGAAGAUGGAAUCAAGAAAUGCAAAACAGGAGUGAGUCCAUUUAGUACUGGAAAAACCAUGGAAGAGGUUUCUGCUGGUUUUGGUGUUGCUUUUCCUGACAUUCAACUACUGGACAAAGACACAGCUGUCAAAUGAAAACAAUAUUCAAGCCAGUGAACCAGAUGAUGAAGAUUUUGUCCUGUUUGAGCUCCUCAAGCCUCCCAAAGAUGCUUCUUAUGAGAUUCCAACCCUACAGAUUCUCUAUUUGAAAGAAGGAAGGAAGGAAGGUAUUCCAAGGCCUUAAUGCCAUCACUGAGCAAUAUCUUUUCAAACUAAGGAAGGAGAAAGGGAUAAAUGUUCCAAGAGGGUGUUACCAUGCAGUGAUGACAACAGAAAAAAGGUUAAUUUUGAUUACUGGAGGCAGGUAAGGAUGGGUAGGUUGAGACAAAGAUUUUUCAUUACAAGUGGGAUAGAGCCUUGGAAUUUUGGACCAAGGAGACCACAGAACUGAUGUGGCAAGUAUCUUAAAGCAAGUUGAUAGUGAUGGAUGGGUCUUAUUGAGCAUUACAAAACAGCAUCAUUAUGGAAUGUGGAGAGACUGGAAAUGGAGGCAACUUGAGGAGAAAGACUUUUUGUAAUUUUAAAUAAAAUCAGUAAAGGAAAGCUAUUUGGCACAGUGUAAUACUAAUAAUUAAAUACCUAACAGGUCAUGCGUUCACUCUAACAGUUUCAAUUGGGUUUUGAAGCAUGCCUAAUUCAAGUUAUAUCCAAAAUUCUGCAGCUCCAAAUUGUGAAUAGUACCU